GAGUGGACGCAUCACUGGUGUUCGGGUUGUCAUGCCAAUGGCACUGCCCGGUAGCUAAAUGCGGAAGAGAUAAGUGCUGAAAGCAUCUAAGCACGAAACUUGCCCCGAGAUGAGUUCUCCCUGACCCUUUAAGGGUCCUGAAGGAACGUUGAAGACGACGACGUUGAUAGGCCGGGUGUGUAAGCGCAGCGAUGCGUUGAGCUAACCGGUACUAAUGAACCGUGAGGCUUAACCUUACAACGCCGAAGGUGUUU
rnacentral:rRNA from 2 species